UUGUUUAAUUCACUUAAACUCCGACGCAAAGAUGCAGGGUUUGAAGGCCUCCGGGGGCGCUCGCCGUCAAGACGGCAGGGUCGCCCCCGCAGCAACAAGUUGUGUUCACAAAGGGUUGGAGGUCGAGCCCAAAGGCCCUCACUCAGUAAUGAUCCCUCCGCAGGUUCACCUACGGAGA
rnacentral:misc_RNA from 1 species